rnacentral:tRNA from 1 species
GGCUCCAUAGUGUAGUGAUUAGCAUGUCUGCUUUACACGCAGAAGGUUCUGGGUUCGCACAACCAGGUGGAGCCA